AUUGAACGCUGGCGGCAGGCUUAACACAUGCAAGUCGAGCGGAGAUGAGGUGCUUGCACCUUAUCUUAGCGGCGGACGGGUGAGUAAUGCUUAGGAAUCUGCCAUUUAGUGGGGGACAACAUUCCGAAAGGAAUGCUAAUACCGCAUACGUCCUACGGGAGAAAGCAGGGGAUCUUCGGACCUUGCGCUAAAUGAUGAGCCUAAGUCGGAUUAGCUAGUUGGUGGGGUAAUGGCCUACCAAGACGAAGAUGGGUAGCCGGCCUGAGAGGGCGAUCGGCCACACUGGAACUGAAACACGGUCCAGACUCCUACGGGAGGCAGCAGUGGGGAAUAUUGCACAAUGGGCGAAAGCUUGAUGCAGCGACGCCGCGUGGAGGAUGAAGGUUUUCGGAUUGUAAACUCCUGUUAAGUGGGAAGAAAGACUCAUGGCUAAUACCUGGGGUCCAUGACGGUACCGUAAGAAUAAGCACCGGCUAACUACGUGCCAGCAG
rnacentral:rRNA from 1 species